ACAUGUCCCAACAUUACAUCGUUACAUCAGCGGAAGUCGAAUUAUGCCCGAGUACAGACAAGAAUACAGCAUGGCCUGAAGAGGCUGGAAGCUAGAACGAAACCGCCACGAGUCUCAGAACCCUGAUCUGGAUCUCCUGGCUAAACAUCGAAUCCAACGUCGUGCUCCACGAAGAAGCUAGCGGCUCACCUGCUCUGCUGGAACCUCUGAAAAAAACAACGUUGUAAAGCAACUGAGUACAAAGUACUCGCAAGACUUACGGGGAGAACUAAACUAAAUAUGCAACAAGUCUCAAAGGAUGGAUAAAUAUGGUGGGGUUAUGCAGCAGC
rnacentral:lncRNA from 1 species